CCUACGGGAGGCAGCAGUGAGGAAUUUUCCGCAAUGGGCGAAAGCCUGACGGAGCAAUACCGCGUGAGGGAUGAAGGAUUUUGGUCUGUAAACCUCUUUUCUCAAGAAAGAAGUUCUGACGGUACUUGAGGAAUAAGCAUCGGCUAACUCCGUGCCAGCAGCCGCGGUAAUACGGGGGAUGCAAGCGUUAUCCGGAAUGAUUGGGCGUAAAGCGCCUGUAGGUUGUUUAUUAAGUCCGUUGUUAAAGCCUGGGGCUUAACCCUAGAAAAGCAAUGGAAACUAGUAGACUAGAGUAUGGCAGGGGUAGAGGGAAUUUCUAGUGUAGCGGUGAAAUGCGUAGAUAUUAGAAAGAACACCGGUGGCGAAAGCGCUCUACUGGACCAUUACUGACACUCAGAGGCGAAAGCUAGGGUAGCAAAAGGGAUUAGAUACCCCUGUAGUCCUAGCCGUAAACGAUGGAUACUAGAUGUUGUGCAUUAUGUACAGUAUCGUAGCUAACGCGUUAAGUAUCCCGCCUGGGGAGUACGCUCGCAAGGGUGAAACUCAAAUGAAUUGACGG
rnacentral:rRNA from 1 species